rnacentral:tRNA from 1 species
CGUUGGCGCAACGGGUAGUGACUCUGCCUCUUGCGCCGGGGGUCGUGGGUUCGAUUCCAACUC